AAGCCCCGGCACCUCUUUGGGGGUGCUUCUCCGAGUUUGCAUUUCGGUGUGGUCUCACCCCGGGG
rnacentral:tRNA from 1 species